rnacentral:rRNA from 1 species
CCUACGGGUGGCAGCAGUGAGGAAUAUUGGUCAAUGGGCGGGAGCCUGAACCAGCCAAGCCGCGUGAGGGAAGAAGGUACAGCGUAUCGUAAACCUCUUUUGUCAGGGAACAAAGGCGGGGACUAGUCCCCGGAUGAGGGUACCUGAAGAAAAAGCAUCGGCUAACUCCGUGCCAGCAGCCGCGGUAAUACGGAGGAUGCGAGCGUUAUCCGGAUUUAUUGGGUUUAAAGGGUGCGUAGGCGGAGCGUUAAGUCAGUGGUCAAAUUGAGGGGCUCAACCCCUUCCCGCCAUUGAAACUGGCGCUCUUGAGUGGAAGAGAAGUAUGCGGAAUGCGUGGUGUAGCGGUGAAAUGCAUAGAUAUCACGCAGAACCCCGAUUGCGAAGGCAGCAUGCCGGCUUCCGACUGACGCUGAAGCACGAAAGCGUGGGGAUCGAACAGGAUUAGAUACCCCAGUAGUC